AUCCUGGCUUACUAGGACAUAUACUAAAAUUUGAACGAUAUAGAGAUUAGCAUGGUCCUCUGCGCAAGGAUGACACGUAGACUCGUGAAGCAUUCCUCACUUUU
rnacentral:snRNA from 1 species